UUGAUCAUAAACACAUUGUUCUAAUACCUUUCCUUGCAGGAGUUUUGGUCUCUGUUCUCCAUGGCAUGGUCUACCAAUGCACCGUCCAAAUUGAUACAUGCCGAUUUGAUACCACCUGAUUUUUUCUUAUGGGGUCUUUUAAAGGACAAAGUGUAUCAACACCACGUACGCAAUUUGGCCAAACUACAGAAGCUAUCACCGAAGAGUUCUAUGGGUCUGUUAAGCUGCUUGUGACAAUGUUGCUCUUUGUCUCCAGCCAUGUAUCGAUUUGUAUGGUACAUUGGUGGACCAUGCCACGAAGGGCAGAGAUUGGGAUUCUUGUAAGGAGGGG
rnacentral:lncRNA from 1 species